UACGGGGGGGGCAAGCGUUGUUCGGAAUUACUGGGCGUAAAGGGCUCGUAGGCGGCCAUCUAAGUCAGACGUGAAAUCCCCAGGCUCAACCUGGGAACUGCGUCUGAUACUGGAUGGCUUGAAUCCGGGAGAGGGAUGCAGAAUUCCAGGUGUAGCGGUGAAAUGCGUAGAUAUCUGGAGGAACACCGGUGGCGAAGGCGGCAUCCUGGACCGGCAUUGACGCUGAGGAGCGAAAGCGAGGGGAGCAAACGGG
rnacentral:rRNA from 1 species